UGGGGAAUCUUGCGCAAUGGGCGAAAGCCUGACGCAGCCAUGCCGCGUGAAUGAUGAAGGUCUUAGGAUUGUAAAAUUCUUUCACCGGGGACGAUAAUGACGGUACCCGGAGAAGAAGCCCCGGCUAACUUCGUGCCAGCAGCCGCGGUAAUACGGAGGAUCCAAGCGUUAUCCGGAUUUAUUGGGUUUAAAGGGUGCGUAGGCGGCUUAUUAAGUCAGGGGUGAAAUCCCGGAGCUCAACUCCGGAACUGCCUUUGAUACUGGGUACCUAGAGUAUGGAAGAGGUGAGUGGAAUUCCGAGUGUAGAGGUGAAAUUCGUAGAUAUUCGGAGGAAAACCAGUGGGGAAGGCGGCUCACUGGUCCAUUAAUGGCGCUGAGGUGCGAAAGCGUGGGGGGCAAACA
rnacentral:rRNA from 1 species